GAGGGAUCUUAGUUCUCUGACCAGGGAUUGAACCUGUGCCCCCUGCACUGGAAGCACAGUCUUAACCACUGGACCACCAGGGAGGUCUGAGGAUCGUCCUUUUAUGAAUGCUUGCCAGAACUUCCUAUAUGUAUCGCCUCUUGUGCCCACAACACACCCCUUUGGCAUUCCAGCUACGGCAGUGACAACCAGCUUGGCACAGGUGUAACCUGACAUCUUACAUCAGCAGCCCCACCAACCUCGCACUUUUUGUCCUGCGGCUUCUCCACUAUGGAUGUGAGGGGAGCCUGGAAAAACCCUUAGUGCUUGAGGGUUAACAAAUCUGGAAAUUCAAGAAAGUUAAUAUCCACAUGGGGCAACUCUUGACCAAUGGAGGAUGAUGGAAACUGGUGGCUUUCCUCUUCUAUCCCUCGGGCAAACACUUCUAAAGUGCAUUCCAUCCAGCAAGAUUGAGACUUAGCCCGUAGCAAUGACUCCCUUGUCCUGGCUGUUCCUUCUUCCAUUUCAUUUUUCCUGGUUCUCAAUUUCCAAAAUAAAACAUUUCACUUUCCAAAAUAAGCCAUCUGUGCCCAAACCCUUGACUUCGACUUUGCUUUCUUGAGGAACCCAGGCUACAACAGCCACCUAUAAUUAAGUUGUGUGGUCUGGUGUUUUCUCUGAGGAAACAAUUUUAACCGACAGUUCAAUUCUUUUUCUCUAAGGCUUAUGAGCUAUUCAGGUUUCUAUUUCUUCUUUAGUCAGUUUUAGCAAAUUGUAGUUUUCUAGGAAUUUAUCCACUUCCUUGAAAUUUCAACUAUAUUGGCAUAAAGUUGUUUAUAAUAUUUUCUCAACUAUUUAAUUUCAACAGCAUCUCUAGUUAAAGCCCCCUUUCAAUUGCUAAUAUUAUUUCUUUUCAUCUUUUUGUCUUAGUUAAUCUUGUGAUAGGUUUGUCUAUAUGAGUUGUUUCAAAGAAGCAAUGUUUAACUUUGUUGAUUUUCCCUAAAUCUUUUUCAACUUACCUUAAGCUCUAACAGUCUUUUACUCUUCUUAGGCUUUUCCAGGGCCAUUUUGCAUUUGGUCCUCUCUAACUUCCUAAACAAAGUUCUUAACACACUAAUUCUCAGCUUCGAAACUUUCCUAAUGUAAACAUUUGCAAAUAUAACAUCUGGACUUGGAAGCCAUGCAGGCUAAGUCCAAAUCCUGGCUCUGCCACUUGCUAGCUGUGCAGCUUCAGUUCACUUUUCUGUGCUUUGGUUUCCUCAUUUACACUUGCCUCAAAGGUUGUUAUGAAAAUUAAAUGAGUAAAAUAUGCAGAGCUCAUAAAUCAAUGCCUGCUAUAUAAUAAAUCCUAAGUAAAUAUUAGUAUUAUGUAUUUUCCUUGAAGUACUAUUUUAGCUGGGGCUUCCCAUGUGGCUCAAAGGUAAAGAAUCCAUCUGCCAGUGCAGGAGACACAAGAGAUGGAGGGAUGGAACUCAGGUCUCUUGUAUUGCAGGCAGAUUCUUUACCAUCUGAGCCACCAGGGAAGCCCACACUAUAAUCUAGACUAUCCCAUUUGAUAUUAUUUGUGUUUUAAUUGAAUUAUAGUCCAAGAAUACAAUCUGUUUGAAAUUUUAAAACAUCCUUUAAAGUUGUU
ensembl:lncRNA